rnacentral:rRNA from 1 species
AUUGAACGCUGGCGGAAUGCUUUACACAUGCAAGUCGAACGGUAGAGGGGGCAACCCCUUGAGAGUGGCGAACGGGUGAGUAAUAUAUCGGAACGUGCCCAGUCGUGGGGAUAACGUAGCGAAAGUUACACUAAUACCGCAUACGAUCUAAGGAUGAAAGCGGGGGAUCGCAAGACCUCGCGCGAUUGGAGCGGCCGAUAUCAGAUUAGGUAGUUGGUGAGGUAAAGGCUCACCUUAAGCCAACGAUCUGUAGCUGGUCUGAGAGGACGACCAGCCACACUGGAACUGAGACACGGUCCAGACUCCUACGGGAGGCAGCAGUGGGGAAUUUUGGACAAUGGACGCAAGUCUGAUCCAGCCAUUCCGCGUGCAGGAUGAAGGCCCUCGGGUUGUAAACUGCUUUUGUACGGAACGAAAGGUUUCUAUUAAUACUAGGAGCUCAUGACGGUACCGUAAGAAUAAGCACCGGCUAACUACGUGCCAGCAGCCGCGGUAAAGUG